rnacentral:rRNA from 1 species
AUUGAACGCUGGCGGCAUGCCUUACACAUGCAAGUCGAACGGCAGCACGGGAGCAAUCCUGGUGGCGAGUGGCGAACGGGUGAGUAAUAUAUCGGAACGUGCCCGGUCGUGGGGGAUAACGUAGCGAAAGCUACGCUAAUACCGCAUACGAUCUACGGAUGAAAGCGGGGGAUCGCAAGACCUCGCGCGAUUGGAGCGGCCGAUAUCAGAUUAGGUAGUUGGUGAGGUAAAGGCUCACCAAGCCGACGAUCUGUAGCUGGUCUGAGAGGACGACCAGCCACACUGGGACUGAGACACGGCCCAGACUCCUACGGGAGGCAGCAGUGGGGAAUUUUGGACAAUGGGCGCAAGCCUGAUCCGGCAAUGCCGCGUGCAGGAUGAAGGCCUCGGUUGUAACGUAGCUUUGUUACGGU